GUGCUGUGCGCCUGCGCAAGCAGCAGGCGGCCUGACUUCGGAAGGGCGCUCUGCGCCAAAAUGCGUAGCGAGGAUGGCCCCAACACCCCAGCCCUCGUCCAGCCCGAGAGCGACUCCUCGUGGCUGGCGAGAGAGUCCUUGUCUCGAACCCAGGGGUCUGUGAUCUGAUUGGGCCAUGACCCUUUUCCCCUCGCAAGUGGGAAAGGCGCGGCACCUCUGGUCUUUGCUCACGAGGGGAAAGAGGAAGGUAUCGCUGCUUCUCAAGAUUGAAGUGUGCUGCCAAGAGAGCACGGAAUCAGCGUCUUCUCGCCUCUGCAGCCAACGCGCAGGGAUAGACAGAGCUCACUUGCUUCCCAUGGCCACAGGUCGAGGGCUUGGCCUUUUCCAUGAAACCGGAGUGUUUGCGCCCGAGGCGGUUAGGAUCCCUUGAUAUAAAAGAAGAAGAAAUAUUCUAUGACAUGUAAUAUGGCUACACAUGAAAAGUCAGCAGAAACAAGAUCAUGGAGUCGUUCAAGGGGUUGAAGCUAGGGAUUGGCACAGCCCAGUUUACCUUAGAAAGACCAUUGGCUGCAGUAUGGCGAAAAACCAGAGAUCUGGCAAAACUGAGAACAAAGAUGUCCAGAAAAUUUCAUGGCAUCAUAUUCUCAAUCACAGCAGGAACAACAAUGGAUCUUAACGCCAACUCCAAUCCUAAGUAGCCAUUUAACUUUUAGUUACAACACCCCACUUGUAUAAGGCUUUAACUUCUUUACAUUAUUUGGCAUUGUACUAAUUUGUAUUUCUAGUCUAAAACUUAUGAAUCUGAAAGAUACUGUAAAAAUACAAAUAUACUUUAAAAUAAUGAUCUGGAAUUAAUUUUUCAGGAAACAAUAAAUAUUCACAUAUGGUUAUA